rnacentral:lncRNA from 1 species
AUUAAUUACAAUAAUUUGUUAUUAUUAAUCUUAUCAAUUCAUUUGAAUGCGAAAACAAUGAUGGUAUACAGUAUAUUGCGAAGUGUUUUCAUUAAAUCCAGUUCUUUAAAUUCGUUAAUGGAGUUCUUUCUUUUGUCAUUCUUAAUAUUUAGGGGUCGCGUUCAAAACUAAUUUGAUUCCCCUUGCACAAUCAGCCAUUGUUAAAGUCUUUCUCAAUACCUGAAUAAAUUAGAAUGAUAUUCCACCUAUUAAAAUAAAAGGCCUUCCACUUAAUAAGAGUAACUUUAUCCGAAUACUGCUAAAUCAUUCAAUUCAAUGGGUACCAAAGCAAUAAAGUGUAUAUCGAGAUGCUGGAGAAAAAUCAUCGGAUUAAUAGUACCUUUUGCUCUUUCUCCAUUACUGUUUGUAAUUAAUACAAAAGUGAGUAUAAUUCAUUCUAUUUUAUAUACUUUACCGACUACACAAAUUGAUAAUUCGGGUUAUUUUUCAAGAAUUUUAAAAAUUUUAAGCUGUUGGUGAGCCAGCAACUUGAAAUCUUUAAAACUCUCCAGAGGUACUUAUUAUGUUUGAAAUCUUUCUAUAUACGAC